rnacentral:rRNA from 1 species
GUAGGUGGCAAGCGUUGUCCGGAUUUAUUGGGCGUAAAGCGAACGCAGGCGGGAAGAUAAGUCAGCUGUGAAAGCCCUCGGCUCAACCGGGGAACGGCAACUGAAACUAUUUUUCUUGAGUGCAGAAGAGGAGAGUGGAACUCCAUGUGUAGCGGUGGAAUGCGUAGAUAUAUGGAAGAACACCACUGGCGAAGGCGGCUCUCUGGUCUGUAACUGACGCUGAGGUUCGAAAGCAUGGGUAGCGAACAGGAUUAGAUACCCUGGUAGUCCACGCCGUAAACGAUGGAUGCUAACCGUUGGCGAGCUUGCUUGUCAGUGGCGUACGUAACGCUUUAAGCAUCCCGCCUGGGGAGUACGGUCGCAAGAUUA